GUGGCAAGGCUACAUUGGUCUUUUGCUCUGCAUAAUAAAGAGCAAACUGCAUGUUAACACGGCUUUCAGGGUGAAACUUCCACGAGCGUCCUCCGGUUUGCUUGUUGUCCAGAAAAGUUGAAAAGACUCACGCAGCCCAGUCAGGAGACACCAAAUUGUCGUGAAAAUUAGACAACACUCGCAGACUUGUCCUCUGAAGUUGCUCAGACACGAGUUUACAACUGAGGUGCUGCAAACCACAUGAGGACAAAGAUGACCUGAAAAGUAACAGAAGAUCAAUGAAUCAUCAGAAGGAUCAACAGGCCAUGCUGACUGAAAAACCCACAAUCUAUAAGGUUCUGACUGUGCAGGGCACUACUAUGCAUCUUGAAUCUAGACCUGUAAAGGAAUCACCAAUGCUUCCAGAGCCAUGUGCAGCCACCAGUUUAUUACCUCUGCAGACCAGAAGUGGGGCUGCGAUUCACACAUCUCUCUGUGCUAAGGAACAUCAAGGACAGAGAGCGGUGAAGAUAUCACAGCCUAAGAAAAUGAUUAAAGACGAAACAAGCAAAUCCAGAAAUGUGGCCAUAACUCAGCAAAAAUGUAUUGAUGGGCAGAAUUCUCUCUUUGGCAAGCAAAAGCCAGGACAUGAAGGAAUGAUGAGUAAUAAUCCUAAUAAUAAAACUGAUCAGGGGUGCCACAGUGGGACAAACAGUAACAUCCCAAAACUCCUAAGUGAAGGACCCUGGGUUAUAGAUUUUACAGCAUUCAACAGCAUUUGCCCAAGAUCCAAGAAUAUUGAAUUUGACUUUAUUUGCCAUGGGCCACCAUGUACAUGCAGUAAAAGUGAUCCCUUUGGACCCUGGUGUGUUGAGGAAAAUAACUGAAUAAAACCUCUGUAACUGUACAAAAAAACAAAACAAACCAAACAAACAAACAAACAAACAAACAAAAAAAACAGUAUACUAUGUCCAUGUCAGUUUGUAUUAUCUCAAAUUCUUUAGGAUAAUGAGUGACAUUUGGCCAUGCUCUGAAACACACAAGACCUCAUGACACACAAGCUCAGAAAUCACAAGAAUUCUGCCACCAUUUGUUCUAUGAGAAGUUCAAUGUCAUGAUGUAAAAUUUGUCCUAAAACCUAAGUGGAAAGUAGUUAGUUUAAAAGGUGAAGUUAUAGCUUUAUCUAUGACUGUUACAAAGCGCUGACAAUUGAGGCUACUUCAAUAAUUGUUAAGCAAACAUCACCUUACAGAAGCUAAUAUUUUGAAUCGGUUUAUGAUUAGGCUAAAAUGUGGAGAAUCCCUGUGGAUUGGCUGUCCCCAUAAAUUAGAACAUGUGUAUUAACAUAAACUGCAGUAGUAGCUAGAUAUGUUUGGUUUGUCUAGUAUUUUAUUUUAUUAAAGUUGUAGAUCCAAAGAUUAUAGUCUAUGCCUUAAGAUGAAUAAUUGUGCAUGCAAUACUGCUGUAUUCUUGAAAUAAAACAUGCUAACAACUACUUUGCAGAAUAUGUUCUGUAUACUGUAAGAACAAUCCAUUACAGAUACACCACACAUAGACACGGGACAAGAACUGUCAUUUUAUCGUUACUUUCUUGUUUAUUUAUCGUUGUUACAUGAUCAGUACACAUAUACUGUAUUGAUGGCUUCUAUAUAGAUUUACAUUUUACAUGAACACUUGUUUUAAUCAGGCAGGAAAGGUUCAGUCCUACUGACUUCUUUUUGAGUUCUGAAAGGAAGAACCAUCUCAAAACACAACAACUUAUUUAUUGCUCAAUACAAAAAUGAUGGAUAAUAAUAAUAAUAAUAAUAAUAAUAAUAAUAAGGUUGUGGGGAUGUGAACUGUAUACCUUCACAAGACAAAGCAAUCCUUUUUGCUUGUUAUAAUCUAAAAACAGCGAAUAUCUACAGCAGGAAAAGAGUGAUGAGUGCUAAGGUAAAGUUCGGGAAGUGAAAAGCAGGUCACGGAGUGCUGAACCCAGACUGUUGAGGUGUUUUGG